CAUUUGCUUCUCGUAGUCCUCGUCGAACUCUGCUGACUGCUCAGGGGUAAAAUGAUUUUUCCAAUCACCGACUUCUCCUGUCAAAGAAGAAGAAGAACAGUUUGAAUGUGUGAAGUGCGAGUCGGCAAGAUGCUACAGCGAGUGAGGAAAGUUGCUUGUAAGGGAGACGGAACGCCGGCCGUCGUUUCCGUUUCAACAGGUAAAUUGAUUUUAAAAAAUAGACGUGGAAUUUAAGACAUGGUUAACAUGAUCAUUGAGGGAGUGGCUGACGAAUGGACUUUUCUGAUGUGCGCUGAUGAGAAAUUACAUUUUAGCACUUUCUCACACCUGCGCAAUAUUUAAUGCUAUUUCUCACAAUCUCAUCUUUCUCUCUCAUGUAAGAAUUUGCCAGUCCGGUUUCUCCAGUGACGUGAGAAGCGCAAGAGACCAAGUGCGGCUGCCCAGUAUUAGUGUAACAGAUUGCCUUCCCAACAAGCCUGCUCCGUUUGUUCGCAGUGAGUUUAAACUGGAAAUUGCAAAGACGAGCCGUCUAUCGAUGUGCAAAAUGUCUUGCCAACAAACCAUUCGCAGGGAAACGAUGAUGUUUGCCUCCUAUUCGUAUUGACUGUAGCUUGCAGUGAUGUACUGCAUCAUACUGAGAGCUGUUUAUAAUAGAUCAUCAAACUUUUUCUCAGGAGGGGUCAGUUUUAGUACGGCCAUACAACAUUUGUUUAAAAAUAUGAAUGAUUUGGUUGUUGUGUUUUGUUGAUGCAGAGUUCCAGUGCAGCCCUCCGGAUAGACUUUCCCUAGCUUCGAACGAACGCCUGCUCUGGACGUUUUGUGUUUUCUCUUCAGAUCCUGUUUGGAGAAACGUCCCAUGGAAAGUGUACUGUAAAUUGUUGUAUACAACCUUUCAAUUUCACCUUGGUUUUUGCACAUGUGCCUAAUAACGUUUCCAGUGAAUUUAGAACAGAUUGCAGCAACACGUCCACAAAUGUAUGUACAGAACACACCUGAGGGGAUAUGUGGUGGGCUCCAGAUCUCCAGGAAAGGACUACGGAGCAGCGUGGGGGCUCGUCUGCAAGCCACGGCAUCCCCGUUGUGAAGAAGCAGAUCAACUAUCUCCUGAGUCCAUGUUGUCCCUAAACCCCCAAAAUUAAAGAACACAAUGAAUGACGACAUCCCGUAAUCCGAAUGUGGUGAGAAGCAGUGCAUUUUGUCGGACCUGCUUUGGGGUAGGUGGCAAUGAGGAGGUCCGAGCUGUCAGGACAGAAAGCUGAGAUGGCGUCAAAGUUAUUGGCGAUGAGGCUCAUGAGAGGAAUCCCUUUAACUGGGAUGAGAGGGAAGCGAGAGAUGGAGGUGCUGGCCUCCUGGAUGGCAGCACUGUAGGAUAACUCGUUGUCCUCUGACAUGGCUGGAAUCAAAACGUUUUACUGGACAGAAAGAAGAAAAAAAAAAAAGUCUUCAAAAUUGCUGCAGAAAAUCCAGUAUGUUGGUUCAGUCUGAAGUCCUGUUCUCCUCUUUUGUCAAAUAUUUGCCAGAGUCUUGACUUUAUCGACCACAAAUCCCACCCGAGCUGGAACUCCUCGUCUCUGUCGAAUAUCCCUUUCCUAUCCUAUCCUAUCCGGUCCGCUAACAUCUGGACUUUACUUCUGCGAACUCACGUGGGUUUGCUUUACAGCCUCUCCGACACGUGAGUAAAAAAAACCUGCAGUGGGCUGUCCCGACAGGACUUUGCCAUAAACAGAGUGAAGAGAAGCCCUCAGCUGUACUGUAAGAUCCCUCCCUCCUGAUACUUUUAUCAAGCAUUUCCUGUGUAGCGUGAGGAAAGGACAAGGAUGGUCUUGUGAUAGUUCCACAGCCAAAGAGAACAAUGGUCACUGGCGCAAUUCUACAACUGAAAUGGAAGUGUCAGUGGAUUCAUGAGCAAUGCAUUUGAAUCAGAGAAAGAACAUGUGCUUUCCUCUCACACCUUUGACUGCAAGUUUGGACCCAGGGUCAAGUCAAGCCAACUCUUUACCCACGGUUCGCCGUCCUCGGUCGAAAUAAAGGUCUAAAUGUGUGGCUAAAUAAAGGUCUAAAUGUGUGGCUAAAUAAUGGUAAAUAGUGACUAGAACCUGGUUAUCAUUGUUUAGUAUGGUCACGCAAUCAACACCGUUUGCAGAAUACAUAGUGAGCAUGUUCAGCCUGGAGCAACUUUAGAAAUGUGAUUGCUCAACAGCCUGUCAAUAACUGAAACCAUGUUGAUACUGAAAACAAGCUCAAAAGAUUUGACCACAAAGCACUUUCCUUUAAAAAAUGGAAUAAGAUGGUGAACAUAACUCUGUGUUAUGAAAAGCACUUGACCAUGCAGCCAGACCCCACUCUUGUCUUUAGAGCAGAUGGGAGAGAGAGAAUGCUGUAUUUUGUCACAUAAGGUUCAGACACGUGGUUAAGGAAUCAUUGACCUAAAACGAAUGGCCCAAAAGUGAGGAAAAAUGUUUUUGUAUCACAAAUGACUGUAAAUCAAUUUAGAAUAAAUCCUUAAACAAUUUAUAUGUAUAUGUACAGCACUACCAAUGACAAUGAAACAAUUACACUUGUCGCUUGAAGAAAUCCAAAUACAAGCAACUUUAAUUUGGUUUUUAAUGUGACAAAGGAAUAUUAAUUUACAUUUGGUGAAAUAUACAAUGUAAUUUAAAAACAUUUUGUUUAGUUUUACACUAUUGAACUGGAGUGUAAAUAUAUAGCUUGACGCAAGCACACGUUAACACUUUGUUUUCCCCAAACUGCACGACAGGGAGUAGAGAAUAGUAGACUUCAGUAUGUAUACGACAUACUGGUAACGGGUAUCGCAGUAUCAGCGUCAGUACAAGCAAAAACAAAUUAAAAACAUUUUUAAAAAGAGGAAAAUUAUUUUGUGUGCAGUAAUGUAAUGUGUAUAUAAUAUACAAAUAUUCAUUAGCGCUUUCGGUUUUACGGAACUAUAUAUUAUUGUUGUAACCGGAAGUUGCUGAUUCAACUUCCUUUGGCAACAAGCCUCACAACCGCUCCUGUGUGUGUGUGUACAGUAUGUAGCAUCUUUAGCUAGCUCGAAACACGUAUUUAUGAUGUCACCUUGGUUUACUUUGGCGUUAAGUUCAAAAAUAAACGAAAACUAGCUCACGCUGCUAAAUCAAUGGCCAGCUAGAGCCGUGUUGCUUGGUUUACUUUGGCGUUACGGUCAAACGUAAACGAAAAAUAGCUCAAGCUGCUAAAUCAAUGGCCAGCUAGAACCGUGUUGCUAUUCGCACCAUGUUUGUUGUGUGAGGAGAUGAACAGCUGCCAGUGGGGCCGUUUACGUCUCGCCUUCGUCGUCUUAGCGGUCGAGUGUUUGACGCAAGCGGGGACGACUGCAACUCUGACAGAUGAGCAACCUGUCAGCUCAGCGACCCCUUCUCCGGGGGUCACCGACGGACUGAAGUCCACCAGCCCCCUCCCUGCCACGAAUGACUCCAUAAAUGUUCGCGGUGAAAGCGGGACCCCCUUUGCAGACAACCAAACUUCGACGGCUGCUACUGCCGUAAUUCCGAUAAAUGGGCAACCUGUCAGUUCAGCAACCACCACUUCUUCUGGGGUGACCGACGGAGUGAAUUCCACCAUUCCCCUCCCUGGCCCCAAUGAGUCCGUAAAUGUUACAGGCGGAAGCACUGGGACUCCUUUUGAAGACACCCCGAUUGUGAGACUCCCUGAGGCGUGUGUCUGCGAUUUGACUCCCGAUUUCUGCAACAUUGGCUGCUGUUGUGACAUUGCUGAUUGCGGCGUUGCUGACCUGAGUACUGUUUUCAAAGGAUGUCCUCAGAAAGCCACGUCAGGAGUCUGCAUUGAGAAAUGGCUGAUGUUCCGCGCCAACGUGGAUUCUUCUUUAGUCAGUGUGACCGAAUCUUUGUUUUGUGUUCAAUCUGCAGCUGAGCAUUUGGAGGUCCCCACUGUUCCACUUCAACUUCCAGUUUUAGGAGACUCUUAUCACUUCUCAUCACCUCAACCAAUAAGCGUCGGCCACAGCAGACAUUUUUAUCGGGCGGAUGAUGUCAUCCAGACAGUUUUCACCAAAUCAUCUGUGCGAGGUCUCCUUCGUCAGCCGUCUCCAGGAGCGGCUGGUGCUUUCUGUCUUAGUCGCAACCCCGCACGCUUCUUAAGGUCACAGUCUCUGUCUUGUACCCGCAUGGUAAAUCCUCAGUCGUGCACCAAAGACCCAAAUCUCAGCGCUCUCUCCUACUUCACGGAACUGAGUCUGAUUAAAAUUCCAAAACCUGCAGAAGAACAAGUGUCUGACCUUUUGAUCCCAGUCUCCCCACUUUCUGACUGGCCUGCACCCAGUGAGGAAACAAAUCUUUGUGUUAACGUGGCAAAAAAGGUGGAGUUUGUCAUAGUGUACACAGAGAGAGGAGAGCUGGCAAGUGCGACAGUGAAUGUUGUUCUAACGGAUGUGAAAAUGAACCAGUUGUUGCAACAAGUGCACUCGAUCCAAUAUAAGCUAGGGACAUCUCGCCCGUCUCCAAUGCCGACGAUUCCCUCAGUUGGACUGCGGGUGGGAUCCAGUGUCCUUGGUGGCUUUAACGGAGAAGUGAAACCCGUGACCAUAAUGGGGUUGCCGCAAGCUAGCGAGUGCUCCUCUGACCCCGCCACGAGGAUGAACAUCCUCUUCACGUACAAUACAAUCACAGGCUGCAAGUUUAGUUCUCCUUCCAGGAACUGCGCUGAGCUGCGUUCCCAGAUUGACAGCAUCUUGCAGGGAGCCGCUGUUCCUGACGUGAUUGCCACGAGCUCGGGUUCCCAACCCGACUGGGCGACAGUCCUCAAGCAGGAGUGUCCUGUCAGCUCGGAGGAAACAUGUGACUCGGGCUGUACCCUCCCACACUUGCUCUCCGUGCAAGUGCUGUGGGCUCGUAUGGGCCUCCUCGACCUCCCUCAGAGUUACAUCCUGGGUGUUAAAUACCUCUUCCACUGUCAAAAGUUUCAGUGCCCUUUGUCGUCAACCAUCGCUCUAACCACUGAGGUCGCAUUUGCCGACAUGACGGUUUACCCCAAAACUGUGCUGGAGACUGGGUCAACUUGACGACGCGCUCUGCUCGAUUGGCGUCUUCACCAGAGGCACUGCUGAGCUGGACAGACUCAUUCUUAUUACACCUUUGGGAGAAUUCUCUGUACGGUGAAAGGCAUUCUGGGAAGACGGAGGCCACCACUUCAAAGGACACGUCGUUGUAUUGCAGCAUCUCCAAACCACUGAAAGAGAAACCAGAUGCCCAAAGACUUAAAACCUGACCACAGAGGCACUUUUAUGGGAUUAUCACUAGACAAGUCCAACGGCUUGAAACUUGCGUCAAAUUGGCGGGUUUCGUCUCGCUGAUGGGCACGCCUGGCAGUUUACGUCUCCAGUUUGUGGCAGACAGAGAGACUUCGUGGAGAGCUGCAAGCGCAUCCUGGAGACUCUCCCUCACUCUCACAGUCUGCUGGUAGCGCAGGGAGGACACGCACCCCACUUCCUCAAAGCCUGAAAAGACGUUCGUUUGGGUUUGUGGAGGGAAAGUCUGGAACGUAAUCCCCAGCAAUGGAAGGGGUUUACUAUAAUCUAUAGAGAGGCUCCGCAUCGCUGUUUACCUUUCAGGGUAAGUCGCAGGUCAGCAUUGUCCGGCCUCAGAGACGUUCGAAACUCGGCCCGACUGGUGAACAUCCGGUAAGGCUCCGUCACACCUCGAGUCACUAGGUCAUCAAUCAGAACUCCGAUGUAGCUCUCGGUCCGAGACAGCGCCACUGUGGGCACGGAGAGCGCCGUGCGGGCUGCGUUGACCCCCGCCCACAAGCCCUGUAGAGCAGAGGGAGGAGGAAGUCCCGUAAAAGCAAAUGGGAAGCUUUAUAUACUAUGGCUUAAUUUUUGCCUUCAGGGAUUCACGGAAUUUGAAUUCACUGCGAUAGGGGAUAAUUGAUUUGACAUCGUAAUCGUAUUACAAAUCAAUUUUCCACAUUAAAGUGAAUGGAAAACCCGAUAUGAUGUAGGAUUAAAUCAAUGAUCAAUCAAUCACAGGACAAAUUAAACUUGCAGGUCGAGGUACCGCUGUAUUUUUUUUUUUUUAGACCUCGUAAAAUGCAGCUGCGGCACCUGUGCUGCAGCCUCCUCAUACCCCGUGGUCCCGUUAAUCUGCCCGGCCAGGAAGAGACCUUGGGUGCUUUUCACCUGCAGUGCAGGGCUCAGCUGAGUGGGGCACACAAAGUCGUACUGCACGCCAUAGCCUAACACCCAAAAAAAAAAAAAAAACAUUAAAAAAAAAUGUUUUUAACGGGGGCUGGUUUAGGUCGCACGUACCGGGUGUGUGGAUUUCAGCUCUGUGUAAGGCUGGGAUCUCUCUGAUGAGGCGCAGCUGCAUGUCAGCGGGCAUGGUCAUGGACAGACCCUGCGGGUACACCAGGUCAGAGGUCAGCCCCUCAGGCUCCAGCCAUACCUGAUGCUGCCGACCAGGAAAGCGAAGUACUCGGGCUUCAAUUGACGGGCAGUACCUGAAUAUAGACAAGGGCCUCUUUUUUAGGAAUCUGAGCAGAGAUUCGCAAAUGUGUCUGGUGUACAUAACUUUUUGUUUUUAUCUUAAUUUUUGUAAAACUUGCUCUACUUAGUUUAAUGUGAGCAAACAAAGCAAAAGGCCAUUGAGAGGCUAACAAAACUAGAAUUGUCACAGUAGUUAGAACUGUAAUCAAAAGAUAUUUGAACACAAAGUGCAGCAACACACAUGGACAAUAUAACAAUAGUCACAGGCAUAUAUUCUUUAUCCUCUGCGAAAAACGACAACUAUUACUGCAGCUUACUGAGCAGCUGUGACAGUCUUCUUCAUUUGUAUCCUUGACUGUAUUAUACUGCCCCCGGUGGCCAAGUGGCAACACCAGGAGCGGCCGGGAAGAAAUGAUUCUCAAACUAUUUAAUUCUUUACAUUCCAAUGAAUUAGGUCAUGACUGUGUUUUUAUAAAGUACAAUACUACAGACUGCUAUUUUUUUUUCUUAUUCAAAAAAAACAUGUUACAAAAUUUCUGUACGUGAUUAAACGCGUUCAAUAAAAUUGAAAUAUAAAAGUGCUCAUACUAUAGUAUCAGGGGUGCAUAUUGAGCAGUAUAUAUAUAUAUAUAUAUAUAUAUAUAUAUGGGUAAUAUGACAUUAACUGAACUGACAAUAUGGGCAUGUUCACUCUCUCUGUGUGUGUACCUGGGGCCCUUCGUGUCCUGCUGUAUGUGACAGUUGAGAUGAAGGCUCUCCUUCACCACUUUAUCCACACCAGGUGUGGUAUAGGUCAAGUAGCACGGUAGCUGUUCCUCAGCCUGUUAAAACACUCAUUGAGAUUAAAAGCGUCGGUAUAGUAUACUCGCUGCAUUCAAAUGUGCUCCAAGGUACCUUGCAGUGUGUGUGGCUAUUGAGGAAGCUGAAGGGAGUCGGAUGACUAUCAGAUGGGUGUAGCGUAGCUUCGUGAAAGUCCACCGAAGCCUUCAGUAUUCUGGGAGGCGUACCCGUCCUGAGUCGGCCCAUCUUCAGCCCCAGGCGCUCCCUCAGCGUGUGGGACAUUCCGGCGCCGGACGGGGCGUCUCCGAUCCGUCCCCCGGGGGAUGUGUUCUGACCCAUGAAGAGGGAGCCCGAUAGGAAAGUACCGGUGGUAAGAACCACGGAGCGGGCCGAGAUCGAGAGGCUUGCGCCUGCUGCCGUGAGAGGACGAAAAUUUUUAUUUUUUUUAAACAAAACAGUUUUUAAAGAUUGAAUAUAAAUGCAGUGUACUAAAAAGUUAAAUACAACUAAACUGUAUUUAGUAAGUACACUUCAAUGGCCAUGUUCUAUUUAGGCAGUGAUGGGAGGGAGCCCGUGGGUGGGCUUUUUUGCUGCCCACCCAAACGUAUUCCAGUGACUCUGUGGCGUCCGGGCUCUUCCGGGUUUGAUUCUGUUAAAAGAAGCUCCUCCACUGAUCCCUCCAGCACUGUCAGUCUGGGAGUGGACAGCAGCUCGGACUGCAAGCAGAAAACACAACAUAGAAAAAGGACAAUGCCGAUACGUGUCGAACGUCUGCACCGAUAAUCGUUCGUAAUAAUAAUACGUUGACAAAGUGGAGUUUGGAUUGACUCAUCAAAAUAUUUUUUUAUUUUUUUCCCCCCCUUCACCUGAAUGAAUUGGCGGUAACGUUGGCGGUCCAGCUGAGCCCGUGGCCCCCACACAGCGGGACCUUUCCUGCGAUUCAAGAUGGAAAAAUGGAUGCCGGCCCAGUCUCCCGCUCGCCCGCACACGCCGUCCAAAGCAUCCACCUCCUUCACCAGGUGACCCUUCCCUACUCCGCCCAGAGAGGGGUUGCACGACAAGGAACCUGGAAGGAACGUGAUGAGAGGAGAACCACACUGCUUGGACCAUGAGCAAGAACUUGGAGGUCAAAGCUCGCUCUCUUACCGACGGUUUGUACUUUCUGCGUGACCAGCAGCGUCUGUGCACCCACUCGGGAUGCCGCCGCCGCCGCCUCGGUGCCCGCGUGACCCCCGCCCACCACGAUGACGUCAUACUGCUGUCUGCUAAAAUGACUGGCGCGUCUGGAGACCAGUAAAAGGAAACUCUCCAAGGGGGGGAGCUUCUUUGUCAACAUGAACGAUGCUAACCUGGGGAGUCGGGAGAUAUACAGACCAAAAAAAAAAAAAAAAAACAUUCACACUGAAAUUGUCUUUGCAAUGUGUAAGAAAGACCGAGUUCAUGCAAACUCCACGCAUGCUGAGAUUCGAACCUGAAACCUCUAACAAUGAGCCAGAUGUGCUUAACCACUUUAGGUAGAGUAAAUUCACACAUUUAAAACAUACUCUCCGAAACAAUUGACUAAUAUUGGAUAAUCUCACUACUACUGGAUUUAAAAUAUGUAUGAAAUGUUCUAGUUUAAUUUUCACUCCUAAAUGACUGAAAUAUCCCCCCCCCCCCUCCCCCUUUAGUCUAACAAAGAAUAAAAUAGCACAUUAGAUUUUCAGAUAACGUACAUGUGGCUUGAUGUUUAUGAGAAAACACAAUAGAAACGUCUUGUUUAACUUGUAGGCUGUGCAAUUGUGUAACUGGUUUAAAAGAAGCUGACAAACGCCUUUGACUUCUGUUAGGAACGAAUGCAUUGGAAUAUUGCAGCUAUCACAACCCCCUAAAAGUGACUACUUUGAAUUACUUACAGUUUCUGGAGCAAAUUACAGAGGAUGUUUCUGGUUUCAGGCUGCUGUUGUUUUUUUUAAAGGGGUAACAAAGUACUUGAUAAGGCAACGUUUUCGGAAACACUAGGAAAUAUUGGCUGAGGCGGCGGCCAUGUUGUGUGGGGCUUACAGUCAUAAUGCAUGCACUAAAGACGCACGCACAAAUUUGCUGGACACAAAAUGUUACAUUAGUGAAAGCUAUAGAUGUACUCACCGAAACAUAAAAUGGAAACAUCAUUUGUCGGAACAUUUGCCUUAAUACACUUUUAAACUGAUUAAAGCACAUUGGCAAACCUUAAUACAGUUAUAAACUGAUUGGAUAUAGCACGUAAAUUACAUUUUAAAAAAGCAUUUAAAAAACAGACGUUGUUAAUGUGGUUUUAAAAAUUUCAUUUGUUCUUUUUUUAAAUGGACAUUUCUCAUUGACCCCUAAACUUUUGAACAGUUGUGUAUAUGUAUGCAUACCUGUGCGGAGCUUAUGUGUUUUGUGUAGUAUAAGGUGAAAUGUAAUAGUUGAAGUGACCUUUCCAACGAGACUCAGCAUUUUGCCAGUUUUGGCAAAUCUUGUCGCGUUGCU